GACGAACGCUGGCGGCGUGCCUAACACAUGCAAGUCGAGCGGGAACCUCAGGAGGGGUAACCCUCUUGAGGGGAGAGCGGCGAACGGGUGAGUAACACGUGGGCAACCUGCCCCGGACACCGGGAUAACCCAGGGAAACCUGAGCUAAUACCGGAUACUCCGGCGUGAUCGCAUGGUCGCGCCGGGAAAGCUCCGACGGUCCGGGAUGGGCCCGCGGCCUAUCAGCUUGUUGGGGGGGUAACGGCCCACCAAGGCGACGACGGGUAGCUGGUCUGGGAGGACGGACAGCCACACGGGGACUGAGACACGGCCCAGUCUCCUACGGGAGGCAGCAGUGGGGGAUCUUGCGCUAAUGCGCGAAAGCGUGACGCAGCGACGCCGCGUGGGGGAUGAAGGCCCUCGGGUUGUAAACCCCUUUCGGCAGGGACGAAGCGAAAGUGACGGUACCUGCAGAAGAAGUCCCGGCUAACUACGUGCCAGCAGCCGCCGUAAGAC
rnacentral:rRNA from 1 species